rnacentral:rRNA from 1 species
AGAUUAAGUUAUUAAGGGCGCACGGUGGAUGCCUUGGCACUAGAAGCCGAUGAAGGACGUUACUAACGACGAUAUGCUUUGGGGAGCUGUAAGUAAGCUUUGAUCCAGAGAUUUCCGAAUGGGGAAACCCAGCACGAGUUAUGU